AAACCAACAGGGAUUGCCUCAGUAACGGCGAGUGAAGCGGCAAAAGCUCAAAUUUGAAACCCUCGGGAUUGUAAUUUGAAGACCUGGCAUUGGAGAAAGCUACCCCAAGUUGCUUGGAAUAGUACGUCAUAGAGGGUGACAACCCCGUCUGGCUAACCGUUCUCCAUGUAUUGCCUUGUCAAAGAGUCGAGUUGUUUGGGAAUGCAGCUCAAAGUGGGUGGUAAACUCCAUCUAAAGCUAAAUACCGGUGAGAGACCGAUAGCGAACAAGUACUGUGAAGGAAAGGUGAAAAGAACUUUGAAAAGAGAGUGAAAUAGUAUGUGAAAUUGUUGAUAGGGAAGGAAAUGAGUGGAGAGUGGAGGAGGUUUCAGCCGUCUUUCGAGGCGGUGUACUGCCGAGUCCGAGUCAUUGUCAGCGAGACGGGGUAUACAAACGAGUGGCACUUGUGCUUCCCACCUAUACCCGCCCACUGCCGACAACGACAUAAUCCAGC
rnacentral:rRNA from 3 species